CUCCACCAGGUACUGUUUUGAGGGGAGGGGCGGGGGCGUUGUGGAAUAAGUCUAUUGUUGAGAUUUUAAUAAUCAUUUAAACUUCAUCUGUUCAGUAUAUUUUCUUUUUUUGUUGAGUUCCUCUUCUUUUUGCCUUUCCCCUCUCCCUAAAUUUUCUGUAUGUAUUUUUAACUUGUAUUUAUUGCUGCUUUUGCAGAUUGUGAGUGGAAGGCACAGG
rnacentral:misc_RNA from 1 species